ACUAAUAAUGAUGGAAUUACCGAACCAGGUAAAAUGUGAUUAACGUACCGCCAGAGUUAUUAUUUCACACGCUCACCGAUAAUUAUCAAGCGCAAAAUUAAUUUUAAUACGUGUGAACACACUAAACGAAUCACGUUUAACCGCAAACCUAUCGGGAACACUCAAGUUCAAAUUGAUCCAACAAACAGCUUUUCACAGUGUCGGAUUAUUUCUUCGUUGGAAAGCAAACGCCGAAAAAAGGCCGACGGACUACUCGAUACCAUCUUGAGAUGUCGUGAAGAAACUCUUAACCUGGUAGUUUAAAUCUCAACGACGGGUGAAACGACGCUUUUAUUUUCAAAAGUGCGACCCAACAAUAGUUAGAUUUUUCUGACGGAAACAGUCGCUACUAUCAACAAAUGUUUGCAGAGGAAUUUUACUGAAUUGCAGCGUUACACUUAUAACUAUGAUCACUAUUGACUGUUUCUCAGUGAUAAUACACCGAUUGCACUUUAGAGAGUAAAUUUUGUUUCGGACAAACGAUCUCUCGCACAUUGGAAUGAAAUGUAAACAUUUCUGUAAGUGUUUGGAAAUACAUACUCUCGAUACAGGAUUACAAAUAUUAUUCCAAUUAUUGCAUAAUUUGCGCAAAUAAUUUCGCCCGCGAACAGUUGGAACGUAUGAAGCCUCCGUGACGCGUCUUUUUACCUCACCUGUUCA